rnacentral:misc_RNA from 1 species
CUACCCCUCAAGCGCGGCUUGUGUGUUGGGCGCUGUCCCUCCCCUUCUUCGGGGGGACAGGUCUGAAAGGCAGUGGCGGCGUCGCGUCCGGUCCUCGAGCGUAUGGGGCUUUGUCACCCGCUCUGUGAGGAUCCGGCCGGGGCCUGUCUUACCCCCAAUCUUCUAA